UAAGGAAUAUUGCUCAAUGGGAGAAAUCCUGAAGCAGCAACGCCGCGUGGAGGAUGAAGGGCUUUCAGCUUGUAAACUCCUGUAAAGAAGGAAAAAAUUCCCAUUAGAUGGGAAAUGAUGGUACUUCUAAAGUAAGCCCCGGCUAACUACGUGCCAGCAGCCGCGGUAAUACGUAGGGGGCAAGCGUUGUCCGGAUUUACUGGGUGUAAAGGGUGCUCAGGCGGAUUUGUAAGUCAGAGGUGAAAUCUCACAGCUUAACUGUUAAACUGCCUUUGAUACUGCAAGUCUAGCUUAUGGAAGAGAGUGAUCGCCUUUCUUGUGUAGCAGUGAAAUGCGUAGAUAUCAGAUAGAACACCAAUGGCGAAGGCAGUCACUUGGUCCAUUACUGACGCUAAAGCACGAAAGCGUGGGUAGCAAACA
rnacentral:rRNA from 1 species